UACGUAGGGACCAAGCGUUGUUCGGAUUUACUGGGCGUAAAGGGCGCGUAGGCGGCAAUUCAAGUCAUCUGUGAAAUCUCCGAGCUUAACUCGGAACGGUCAGAUGAUACUGCUUUGCUAGAGUGCAGAAGGGGCAACCGGAAUUCUUGGUGUAGCGGUGAAAUGCGUAGAUAUCAAGAGGAACACCGGAGGUGAAGACGGGUUGCUGGGCUGACACUGACGCUGAGCCGCGAAAGCUAGGGUAGCAAACGGG
rnacentral:rRNA from 1 species